rnacentral:rRNA from 1 species
CAGCAGCCGCGGGAAUACGAAGGGGGCUAGCGUUGUUCGGAAUUACUGGGCGUAAAGCGCACGUAGGCGGAUAUUUAAGUCAGGGGUGAGAUCCCAGAGCUCAACUCUGGAACUGCCUUUGAUACUGGGUAUCUUGAGUAUGGAAGAGGUGAGUGGAAUUCCGAGUGUAGAGGUGAAAUUCGUAGAUAUUCGCAAGAACAUCAGUGGCGAAGGCGGCUCACUGGCCCGAUACUGACGCUGAGGCACGAAAGCGUGGGGAGCAAACAGGAUUAGAUACCCCCGUAGUCCCUGUCUCUUAUAA